ACCUCCGUGUGAUGGACGUCCUGUCUGUUUGUUUGGACCUGGUCUGAUGGAGGAGCCCAUGCUGGGCAAAGCUGAUACCAACUGCACAGGCCUAGUCUGUCACUUUAUUUGACCAAAUGUGUUUACUUUAAUAGUUUUAAACCUUCUGUCCAUAUGUGCGUUUUAUUUAAAACAUUUGAUUAACUUUUGGUUCACAUUUCAAUAAAUUGUAUUUGUAUUUGCACUCCUUUCGUCCAUUAUUCUUAAUGAAAAUGUUAGAUUACACAUUCACAUCUGACUGAAGAUUGGCCCCAUUUAUUUGUGACGUUGCAAACUCUGCGGUACAAGGCACAAGUGAUUUGAAGCUCAUAAAGCG